rnacentral:rRNA from 1 species
UACAGAGGGUGCGAGCGUUAAUCGGAAUUACUGGGCGUAAAGCGUGCGUAGACGGUUAUUUAAGUCGGGUGUGAAAGCCCCGGGCUCAACCUGGGAAUUGCAUUCGAGACUGAAUAGCUAGGGUACGGUAGAGGGAAGUGGAAUUUCCGGUGUAGCGGUGAAGUGCGUAGAUAUCGGAAGGAACAUCAGUGGCGAAAGCGACUUCCUGGACCAGUACCGACGUUCAGGCACGAAAGCGUGGGGAGCAAACAGG